UAGGCAGUGGAAAACUUGCAAGGAAAGCUGC
rnacentral:piRNA from 1 species